rnacentral:lncRNA from 14 species
UACAAACGUUCCACUCUGAAAGUUUAAUGGUUCACAUCUACGGCAGAGUUGGGAUGGACCCCUCCCAUCUUGCCCGCUUCCCUGCAUGCCAUGUCUUGGUGGUCAGUGUUCACCUUACGUAGAUUGAGGAGUUACUGUGGCCACAUGCUAGGCAGAGGUGUACCACGCUGGAUAUCAAGUCUGUAGCCCUGUCUUGGUCUCUUCCCAGUCUCACCGUCCCUUACACGUCAGGGUGAGGUCUGCGGCUAUAGAAAUCCCAUGAUUCUCUUCUCCCCAGGGCUGGCAUCCGUAGAAGCCUACAGCUACAAGACCAAUGAGUGGUUCUUCGUGGCCCCAAUGAACACGAGGCGGAGCAGCGUGGGAGUGGGUGUCGUGGAGGGGAAGCUGUAUGCCGUUGGAGGUUACGAUGGGGCUUCCAGGCAGUGCCUGAGCACCGUGGAGCAGUACAACCCAGCCACCAACGAGUGGAUAUACGUGGCAGACAUGAGCACCCGACGCAGUGGCGCUGGGGUCGGGGUGCUCAGUGGACAGCUGUAUGCCACGGGGGGACACGACGGACCCUUGGUGAGGAAGAGUGUGGAAGUUUACGAUCCUGGGACAAACACGUGGAAGCAGGUGGCAGACAUGAACAUGUGCCGGCGGAACGCAGGGGUCUGUGCAGUGAACGGGCUCCUGUACGUGGUCGGAGGGGACGAUGGAUCGUGCAAUCUGGCUUCAGUCGAGUACUAUAACCCAGUCACAGACAAGUGGACGCUGCUGCCCACCAACAUGAGCACUGGGAGGAGCUACGCAGGUGUUGCUGUGAUUCACAAAUCCUUGUGACCUGAACUCCCUCAGCCAGGAGGUGGAGGAAGAAGCUGCAGGGCACUGCCUGUGGCAGCAGGACCACGACAAGUGAUGAGAUGGAUUGGGAGGCUCUGCCAUGGGUCGACAACUACCUUCAUUGUCUCGGCAGACCAACCUCAACCCUCUCCUAGUGGACACCGGUGACCCACCUUCUGCUCCAAGGUGCUUUGGAUUCUGCCCUAAACAGUUGAGUUCCUGACAGCCCCAGCAGCACCCUAGGGCGCUCACACUCGGGAACGUGUGUGCGCGUGAGUGUGUGCGUGUGUGCGUGUGUGUAAAACAUUUCAUUCAGUCGGGGCUGGACCUGUGUGAUUGUCUACUGGAUUUCUUUACUACUGAUCUUUUUACUAUGCUAAAACUUGUACAAACAUCUUUUUGGACUCAUCCAAUGGGACCCUAGACUACUAAAGAUGCUGUCUUCUGGAGGUCCAGACAGAACUAGCCAAAAGCAGCAUUCUAACCGUAUCUGGGACCAUGACUUGACUUCUGCAGCUGCGUGGAAGAGCAGGGGCGUCCUCAAAGCUGCUCUGCGGCCUCUCCCUGUGCCGCUGCCUCCUCCUCGACUGCACUCUAGGGGGCGGAUGAGAACGGUUUUGCCUUCACAUUUUGGCCUCUACUCCCCGAUGCCAUGAAUUCCAGAUUUGGAGGAUUUUGUGUCUUCUCAGCAGGGAAAAACAAACUCUUCAGACAAGCCCCAGGGAAAAAAACACUGGAGAGAAAUAGACAAGAAAAGCAAGCGGGCAAGCAAGUAAAAGAAGAAAGUGGUGGGACUGGUAAUAUGGCUCAGUGGUUAGGAACACUGACUGAUCUCCCAGAGGUCCCGAGUUCAAAUCCCAGCAACCACAUGGGGGCUCACAACCAUCCGUAAUGGGAUCCGAUGCCCUCUUCUGGUGUGUCUGAGGACGGCGACAGCGUACUCAUAUACAUUAAGUAAAUAAGUAAGUAAAUAAAUAAUCUUAAAAAAAAAAAAAAGCAAGCAAGGAAGCAGACAGAGAAACCAAAGCGGCCUGGAUUCAGUCCCCAGGCCCAGCAGCCUCAGAGAGGGAGGGACCCUGUUUUGAUUGCUCUCAGGGCACCCACCUUAUUUAUCAUGCCUGUUAUGUGGGCCGACUUAUCCACGGUAUCGGCUCUCACGUGGAGGAUAAGUAAAAGGUCACCCUGCCACCCCAAACCCAGAGGUAGGUUUGUCCCUAGGUCAGGAGUGGCCGCAUAACUCCGAGGGACAUGAAGGAUUCUAAGAAACAUGCUGGCUGGAUCCGGCCCUCGGCACUCUGUGAGGAUGGUCAAGGCUGCUUGUAUCCUGUCUUCCCUUUCUCAUGCUUCCUUCUAGUCCAGAGUCUGUAUCCUCUCUCCGGCUCCGAAGCACUCCUUUUUACUUUCCCUUCGGGGAAGGGCCCUGGGCUGGAGAUGCUCCUCAAAGACGCUUGUAUUUUAAAAAUGGAAGCAACUCAGGAAAGUUUUGCUCAGCCACAGAUGAAAACUAUUAAAAAUGUAACUUCAAGCACCUGGGGUGGUGUUUGGAUGCACACAGAAGCAGACGCGUCAAGGGUUGGGCUGUGCUCAUUGUAAGAGCAUGAGUUUGAUCUCUAAGCACUGACAUAAAAAAAAAAAUUUAGGCACAGCAGCUUAUGCCUCCUAUCUCAAAGCGAGGAAGGCAGACACUGGAAGAUUUCUGAGGCUUUUGGGGGUGGGAGCAGUCAACCCUGGCUAACCAGAAAGUCUCAAGUCUCCGGUCUCAGGGAGAGACUCGCAAAACAAACUGUGGAUCCUGCAGACCAACGUUAAAGGUUGACCUUUGGCCUCUACACACACACUUCCCCCGACACCCAUGAACAUCAACCCUAAACUCUUCUUACACUAACGAACUGCUUGUCUUGGAAUCGUUGCCCUUGGAGGGAGACUCUGUGGCCGGAGAACAGUUUCAUACCCAGGAGACAUCAGAGUCCGUGCAGAGGAGACCAAGGGACUUUGUGAACUCUCACUCUGGAGUUCAGACACAAGUAGGUUCUUCAAAGCACAUUCUGUAGGAGGUUGGUGCCCGCUGUCCUCUCUGCCUUUGGAAGCUUCUCCUCCUCUAGACAGCCACUGAGUAGUUCCUGAGCGCCCUUCCAUGAGGGUAAACCUUACUUCCUAAUGUCAAGCAGAAGUUAGGCACUACCACAUCUAGAUAGCUCACAGCCUUAGGAAGAAGCUAGCAUACCCUUCUUUGGGGGACCCAGAAGAAAUGUCUCCCAAUGGAGGCAAACAUCUUCUCAGCUGGUGCUCUGGUUCUCAGCUGUGAGUGGGGAGAGCCACUCGUGAAGCCUGGCCCAGCGGUUGGAAUGCACUCCACGCCCAGGCCCUUCCCUCAGUGCGAGCCGUGAGGAUAAGGUUGGGGAUCAGAGUCUAAUGAGCUCUUCACACAGGCCCUCUAUUUCAGGUGAAAGGUAACCCCACCCUCCCCCAUUCCCGCCAAGAACCCAGACUUUUAUAUUUAGGGGUCACGAUAAGUCUUCCUUUGAGUACUCUUCUCUCCGUGGAAGCUGGCCAGCCACGGUUUCUGCUGGAGCUUUUGCUGUGGGUCCCACCUCGUGCCUCCCUCCCCGUGAAGCAUCGGUUCUGCAGGCAGAGCUGUUGAGGGCUUCACUCAUUCACACCCGUGUGUCCUUUCGUGUGGGGACUAGAACACUGGUAUGUCAUCGCCAAAAGUACUAGCCUGCUCUAGCUGCCCACAGAUACCCCCACCCCGAGACCAGCGUUGAUGCAUCAUCAGGUAGAAGUCUCCCCAUGACUGAUACCACAGACCCACUUUCAAGUCCGUGCUAGGCACACGGUGGGCAAAUUCCCCUCCCUCACCUGACCGAGCAGUGAAUACAGCCCUGCCAAGAGGGCACAUCUGAAAUCUGACUGCAGUGACAAAAUGGAAUUGAGACCCAAGGUUAGACCAAGGUUAAAGCAGCUUAGACGCCACUCGGAUGCUGAUUCGGACUGUGGAAGUCAGCCUCUGAACUCCAAAGUUACUUCUAAGUACCCAACAGCAUCUCCAUCUUAAAAGAGGAAAAGGAGGCAGUAUUAUGCAAAUGAAGUGACCUCAUUUUUUCUGCUAUGCAAUAAGAAUUCUUGAUUGUGUCUCCUGACAAGCCAGUUGUGAUGAUAUCCCCUCAGCUGAUUUUUUUUUGAGCCGUACUCCUUUGAUAUCUGUUGUGUAAUGUUUGUAUAUCUCUGAGCCAGAUCCUUUCAAAGGUUGCCUUUUUUUUUUCUUUUGUAAAAUUGAAGUUUUGAAAAUUUAGCUUUCAGGCUAAAGUUUCAAUGUAGAUAUUUUUAUAGAUAGUUUUCCAGGACAUUUGAAUCGCUUUCUAUCAUCCACGACAAUGAAAUGCUGUUCUGUGUGUCACUCACCCUAGCAGUGUGCGCCUGGAGCUGCCCUCACUUUGUUCCUCACCACCUCCAGAACCCUUCUGAGCUCUAGGCCCUCAAUGGUCUGGGAAGACUGCUGGAUCCCAAGACACCAUCACCGGCUUCCUUUCUUAGUAGCCAGGGACUAAGGUUAAGCUUGACUCCACACUUACCGUCCUGCACCUCUCAUCUCUGUGUGUUUGUGUGUCUGCGUUCUGCAGGGCUGCUUGGCCCACGUGGCGAGGCUCUUACAGCCUGGCCCGCAGGCCCACACUACCUAGGCGGCCUGGGCCCUGCACUGCCCAUUCUCCACUGUCUCCUCACUUCUGGAGGUUUCUAGUAUUCAGGGCCUCCGCGGCUGGGUCCUGCCUCUUUGGGAAGCUUGUGCUCCCAUUACUUCCGGGUCAGUCGGCGGUGACCUGUGGGGAGAAUGCGCCCAGCAGACAUUCCCUCAGUUUUUCCCUCUUUCUUGAGCUGUCUUCACUCCAGGUUCCGUUUUGUGUAUUUAUCUGCCACGGGACCCUUGUUUCUCUUUUUAAAUCUUAAUUUAUUAUUUUGGGGACAGGGACAGGUGCCAUUUAAAUCGCCUCCAUGCCUCUUCCUGUGUGACCUGGGCUGGAUCACGUUGGGAGGCUGAGCAAACCCAGUAAGUUGGACAAGAGCACCCAAGGCUCUGAUGUGCUGAAGCAAGGAGACCAGAGUGCUUUUGUAGGUUGUGUGUGUGUGUGCACGUGUGUGUAUGCAUGCGUGUGUGCGCGCGAGCGUGCUAUUUAAGCCCCUCAUGUUCAGCUGCACUGUUAUCCACUGAGCAAGCAGAAAAUCCAGCAGCACUUCCAACGUACGGGGGCAGGAGCGACUUGUUCUGUGUGGGUAAUCCAGCCUAGAGUUCCCGUGCAGCCUUCACUGCGGGGCUCUGACUUCUGGCUGUAGCAGCAGCCGAGGCGGGAUUGCACAGGGCUGCGGCAUCUGCAGGAAUAAACUGUUCUUGUGCUGUUUUUGCCUUUGGUUAUAAGAUUGUAAGUUACCCCUUCCCCCCUUGGUGGUAAUAAAGGGCCCUCGUUGGACUUCUUGUUUAAUUUGUAUAUGACUCGUAAAAUACUUUCUUCGAAAGAAAACUCAAGACACGGAAUGAGAAUAUCUCUGCGAAUGCCCUGCCUCUGAUAUGGGUCACCAGACUGGACACUGGGACAGUAAAGCACUUGACCUGAUAUUUUCUGCAUGGAUGUUAGGGACCAUAUACCUUGUAAAAGAACACUUGCCACGUGAUCAGUACGGUAAGAGCGGGAAAAUCCCCUCAAACGUAUCAUUUUCACAGGAGCCCAUUCCAGCUCCCCACACUGUACACGGCGUUUUAAUAAAAGCUGAACUGUGAAAACAUUCUGGACUUCACUUC